rnacentral:rRNA from 1 species
AUUGAACGCUGGCGGCAGGCCUAACACAUGCAAGUCGAACGGCAGCACAGAAGAGCUUGCUCUUUGGGUGGCGAGUGGCGGACGGGUGAGUAAUGUCUGGGAAACUGCCCGAUGGAGGGGGAUAACUACUGGAAACGGUAGCUAAUACCGCAUAACGUCGCAAGACCAAAGUGGGGGACCUUCGGGCCUCACACCAUCGGAUGUGCCCAGAUGGGAUUAGCUAGUAGGUGGGGUAAUGGCUCACCUAGGCGACGAUCCCUAGCUGGUCUGAGAGGAUGACCAGCCACACUGGAACUGAGACACGGUCCAGACUCCUACGGGAGGCAGCAGUGGGGAAUAUUGCACAAUGGGCGCAAGCCUGAUGCAGCCAUGCCGCGUGUAUGAAGAAGGCCUUCGGGUUGUAAAGUACUUUCAGCGGGGAGGAAGGCGGUGAAGUUAAUAACUUCACCGAUUGACGUUACCCGCAGAAGAAGCACCGGCUAACUCCGUGCCAGCAGCCGCAGUAA